rnacentral:rRNA from 1 species
UGCAAACUGCGAAUACCGGAGAAUGUUAUCACGGGAGACACACGGCGGGUGCUAACGUCCGUCGUGAAGAGGGAAACAACCCAGACCGCCAGCUAAGGUCCCAAAGUCAUGGUUAAGUGGGAAACGAUGUGGGAAGGCCCAGACAGCCAGGAUGUUGGCUUAGAAGCAGCCAUCAUUUAAAGAAAGCGUAAUAGCUCACUGGUCGAGUCGGCCUGCGCGGAAGAUGUAACGGGGCUAAACCAUGCACCGAAGCUGCGGCAGCGACACUAUGUGUUGUUGGGUAGGGGAGCGUUCUGUAAGCCUGUGAAGGUGGCCUGUGAGGGUUGCUGGAGGUAUCAGAAGUGCGAAUGCUGACAUAAGUAACGAUAAAGCGGGUGAAAAGCCCGCUCGCCGGAAGACCAAGGGUUCCUGUCCAACGUUAAUCGGGGCAGGGUGAGUCGACCCCUAAGGCGAGGCCGAAAGGCGUAGUCGAUGGGAAACAGGUUAAUAUUCCUGUACUUGGUGUUACUGCGAAGGGGGGACGGAGAAGGCUAUGUUGGCCGGGCGACGGUUGUCCCGGUUUAAGCGUGUAGGCUGGUUUUCCAGGCAAAUCCGGAAAAUCAAGGCUGAGGCGUGAUGACGAGGCACUACGGUGCUGAAGCGACAAAUGCCCUGCUUCCAGGAAAAGCCUCUAAGCAUCAGGUAACAUCAAAUCGUACCCCAAACCGACACAGGUGGUCAGGUAGAGAAUACCAAGGCGCUUGAGAGAACUCGGGUGAAGGAACUAGGCAAAAUGGUGCCGUAACUUCGGGAGAAGGCACGCUGAUAUGUAGGUGAAGCGACUUGCUCGUGGAGCUGAAAUCAGUCGAAGAUACCAGCUGGCUGCAACUGUUUAUUAAAAACACAGCACUGUGCAAACACGAAAGUGGACGUAUACGGUGUGACGCCUGCCCGGUGCCGGAAGGUUAAUUGAUGGGGUUAGCGGUAACGCGAAGCUCUUGAUCGAAGCCCCGGUAAACGGCGGCCGUAACUAUAACGGUCCUAAGGUAGCGAAAUUCCUUGUCGGGUAAGUUCCGACCUGCACGAAUGGCGUAAUGAUGGCCAGGCUGUCUCCACCCGAGACUCAGUGAAAUUGAACUCGCUGUGAAGAUGCAGUGUACCCGCGGCAAGACGGAAAGACCCCGUGAACCUUUACUAUAGCUUGACACUGAACAUUGAGCCUUGAUGUGUAG